rnacentral:rRNA from 1 species
UACAGAGGGUGCGAGCGUUAAUCGGAAUUACUGGGCGUAAAGCGUGCGCAGGCGGCUUUGCAAGACAGAUGUGAAAUCCCCGGGCUCAACCUGGGAACUGCAUUUGUGACUGCAAGGCUAGAGUACGGCAGAGGGGGAUGGAAUUCCGCGUGUAGCAGUGAAAUGCGUAGAUAUGCGGAGGAACACCAAUGGCGAAGGCAAUCCCCUGGGCCUGUACUGACGCUCAUGCACGAAAGCGUGGGGAGCAAACAGG